rnacentral:misc_RNA from 1 species
AAGUGAGAGUAACGGUUGCCGUUAGUCACCGUUAGUUGCCGUAACACCGUCGCGUAGUAUAUUGCUAUAAUUUUACUCAAUUUGCUUAACGUCAAUCGACGGAUAACAAUGGCUCACCUUAAAACGCCGAAAAUGCAGAAGUUCCGAAAUAAGACUGAGACUCAAAGUGAGCUCAGCACGCCUCUAAAGAUACCGGCGUCGCCGUUCCUGCACAAAAUAGGUUAUGGCACUGGUGUCCAUGUGUUCACUCUGGAAAGAUCACCCAAAGUCGGUUUUACCAGAUCACCAUGGGCUAUAAAAAAGGUCAGCGGCUUAGGCAAGAGGAAUCCACACUACAGCAAACGAAUCCAAAUCGAAGCUGACAUACUGCGAAACCUAAAUCACCCAAAUGUCGUCGGCUACCGAGGUUUUGUCACGGAUGUUGACGGCAUGCCGUGCCUUGCAAUGGAACAGCUACACUUGUCACUAGGCGACAUGAUCGAGGACAUGGUGAAUGAUGGUAUCGCUGAGCCGUUUCCAGCUGCAAAUAUACUUAGCAUCAGUUUUGAGGUCGCGAAGGGCUUGGAGUACCUUCAUCAUGAAGCUCACAUCCUGCACGGCGAUGUUAAAAGUUUUAACAUCUUGAUAUCCAAAGAUCGAGCCAAUGUCAAACUUUGUGACUUCGGAGUCUCCGUCCCUCUGACAGAUUCCUUAGAAAUGGACGUAUCGAAGGCUCAAUAUGACUACAUUGGUACUGAGUGCUGGUCAGCACCAGAAAUACUGCAAGAUGCACGUAUAGUUACCAACAAAGCAGACAUGUGGGCUUUUGGUAUAGUCGUGUGGGAGAUGAUAUCUUUAUCUCUGCCUCAUGUCGAGUCUGAAGAAGAUUCAUUGGAUGGUAACCACUUGGAAAAUCCAGAGACAGAGCCAAUGGACGUUCCUGGGUCUGAUAGUUUCGGAUUUUGCGAAACUGCUUCACGAAAAUAUGGUACAAGGCCUGCACUACCAGCGAUUAACCUGGGACCAGAGUACCAAAGAGUUUUCAAGCUAUUUCAUGCUUGCACUGAUUCGGACUACAAGUCUCGCCCUAGUGCCAAAGGAGUGGUGAAGUUUUUUAAUAACUACGUUCGUAUCAAAGCAGAGGACAGUUACUUCUGGUAGAGGGGAGUUUUUUAUUUACUAAUCCAGUGCUUUAGUACGAAUUCUUUUUAUUGACCAGAUCUGAAACUAAGGGUGCGAAAUAACGAGACGAAUGCUGUUCUUUUGACACAUCGUAAUUCAACGGUUUGAAUAAUCAUUCAACUUCAUUAAUUACAUAAUAUUUGCUUUUGUUACUUUGACCGUGAACGGCACUUAAAGUUAAACAAAGUACUAAAUUUAACGACAAUUAACCAAUGGUUAUAACGAAAUUCACGAUUGAAGCGUAAUUGCAGCAGAUGAUUAGGCCAAAAUAUCGAAGCUUAUCACAACUGAUCCACAACUCUCUUAAUUAAAUUUGCUGGUCCAUGUUUUUUACCAACAUUAAAAGAAAAUGGCUAUAAGUAUCAGUACGAGUACAAUAAGACUUAUAACUAUUAGGAUCUUGAUUUUCCUCUGCAAGAAUACGAAAAAGACAUGUCAAUUAUUUAUCAAGUUCUAUAGUCUUAACUGUACGUAUAUGUAUUAUUGAAUAGUGUUAUUACGAUUAUCAGUAUAUUUUAUGAUACCUUUUUGUACUUGUGACCUUUUUUUUCCGCCUUGCUCAGAUCAAAACGGCCAUUAUCAACGUUGUCUGUCGCUAUUCCGGCGAAGUAUUCAACACAGUUUAAUCUUUCGCUCUGCAAAUAAUAAUAAAUGCCAUCUCUACGAACAUAUCCCGAACUUCAACAAUCGAUUUUUCAAUUUUAAGAAACUCUUCGUGCCUCGUCUGUAGAUCCGACAACUGCUGCCGCACGGCACUUGUGUCCUGUAAAAUCUGUUGAGGAAAGUGAAUGUUUAGUGAUAAAAUAAAGUUUUACCGGCUAUUUGGACUCAAAA